ACAGGCUUAACACAUGCAAGUCGAGGGGCAGCACAGGUAGCAAUACCGGGUGGCGACCGGCGCACGGGUGAGUAACGCGUAUGCAACUUGCCUAUCAGAGGGGGAUAACCCGGCGAAAGUCGGACUAAUACCGCAUGAAGCAGGGGCCCCGCAUGGGGAUAUUUGCUAAAGAUUCAUCGCUGAUAGAUAGGCAUGCGUUCCAUUAGGCAGUUGGCGGGGUAACGGCCCACCAAACCGACGAUGGAUAGGGGUUCUGAGAGGAAGGUCCCCCACAUUGGUACUGAGACACGGACCAAACUCCUACGGGAGGCAGCAGUGAGGAAUAUUGGUCAAUGGCCGAGAGGCUGAACCAGCCAAGUCGCGUGAGGGAUGAAGGUUCUAUGGAUCGUAAACCUCUUUUAUAAGGGAAUAAAGUGCGGGACGUGUCCCGUUUUGUAUGUACCUUAUGAAUAAGGAUCGGCUAACUCCGUGCCAGCAGCCGCGGUAAUACGGAGGAUCCGAGCGUUAUCCGGAUUUAUUGGGUUUAAAGGGUGCGUAGGCGGCCUUUUAAGUCAGCGGUGAAAGCCUGUGGCUCAACCAUAGAAUUGCCGUUGAAACUGGGGGGCUUGAGUAUGUUUGAGGCAGGCGGAAUGCGUGGUGUAGCGGUGAAAUGCAUAGAUAUCACGCAGAACCCCGAUUGCGAAGGCAGCCUGCCAAGCCAUUACUGACGCUGAUGCACGAAAGCGUGGGGAUCAAACAGGAUUAGAUACCCUGGUAGUCCACGCAGUAAACGAUGAUCACUAGCUGUUUGCGAUACACUGUAAGCGGCACAGCGAAAGCGUUAAGUGAUCCACCUGGGGAGUACGCCGGCAACGGUGAAACUCAAAGGAAUUGACGGGGGCCCGCACAAGCGGAGGAACAUGUGGUUUAAUUCGAUGAUACGCGAGGAACCUUACCCGGGUUUGAACGCAUUCGGACCGAGGUGGAAACACCUUUUCUAGCAAUAGCCGUUUGCGAGGUGCUGCAUGGUUGUCGUCAGCUCGUGCCGUGAGGUGUCGGCUUAAGUGCCAUAACGAGCGCAACCCUUGCCACUAGUUACUAACAGGUUAGGCUGAGGACUCUGGUGGGACUGCCAGCGUAAGCUGCGAGGAAGGCGGGGAUGACGUCAAAUCAGCACGGCCCUUACAUCCGGGGCGACACACGUGUUACAAUGGCGUGGACAAAGGGAUGCCACCUGGCGACAGGGAGCGAAUCCCCAAACCACGUCUCAGUUCGGAUCGGAGUCUGCAACCCGACUCCGUGAAGCUGGAUUCGCUAGUAAUCGCGCAUCAGCCAUGGCGCGGUGAAUACGUUCCCGGGCCUUGUACACACCGCCCGUCAAGCCAUGGGAGCCGGGGGUACCUGAAGUCCGUAACCGAAAGGAUCGGCCUAGGGUAAAACUGGUGACUGGGGCUAAGUCAUAA
rnacentral:rRNA from 1 species